rnacentral:tRNA from 1 species
GGGAAAGUGGCGAAACAAAGUGAACGCCCGGGAACUUAAUAACUCCUGGAUAUGCAAGUGCAAUUCUUGUCUUUUCCA